AUUGAACGCUGGCGGCAGGCCUAACACAUGCAAGUCGAGCGGAGCGGCGGACGGGUGAGUAAUGACUAGGAAUCAGCCUGGUAGUGGGGGCGAAAGUCAGGAAACGGACGCAAAUAACGCAUACUCUCAGAUGAGCCGAGGUAGGAUUAGCUAGUUGGUGGGGUAAAGGCCUACCAAGGCGACGAGCCAUAACUGGUCUGAGAGGAUGAUCAGUCACACUGGAACUGAGACACGGUCCAGACUCCUACGGGAGGCCGCAGUGGGGAAUAUUGGACAAUGGGCUAAAUCCUGCUCCAGCCAUGCCGCGUGUGUGAAGAAGGUCUUCGGAUUGUAAAGCACUUUAAGUUGGGAGGCGUUACCAACAGAAUAAGCACCGGCUAACUUCGUGCCAGCAGCCGCGGUAAUUC
rnacentral:rRNA from 1 species